rnacentral:sRNA from 1 species
CAACAAGUUUUGUUGCCACUUUUCAAGAUAUAUUAACAUCGAAAACUCGACUUUACGCCAAAAAAAUCGAUUUCUGGACCACAGUUCACUGCGAGUAUUCUUACUCGAACCAAUUCCCACACAAAUAAUGGCGUGCAAGUCGGAGCCGAGGACCAGCAGCAGCGCAGUGGAGCAACUGGUGGAGUGCAAAAAUAGGAAUAUAGGAAUUGCAGAAGGCGGGAUACUUGGCCGCCGAAUGCGAACACAAUGCCCGAGAACCGGCGAUACGGUCUGGUGAUAACAAACCAGAGUUCGGACGCGGACGUUGUGGACACCUUUGCCCUAAUUGUAAACGCCAACCGACGCCGAUGCAAUGCCGCGCUGUUCUUCUUACUUAUGACGGGGAUUUCAUCUGGCGCUGCUGUUUGCCACCAUAGGCUUCAUACCUCAACCUUAGCUAACAUUGUGCAUACAUGGUACAUACAUAAUACUGUGGGCCUUACCGAGUAUCUAUCCGCAGACGUUCGACUCCAGCAUGCUAGUGGUCUGCGAGGAUGAGGAAACCGCCCAAUGGGUCAUCUCAGCCGUCUAUGGUAUGUGCCCGCCGCACUCCUGCCAGCCCUUAAUCGAGUUCUUCGGCCUCCUGAGGACGUGAGGAGUCGCAGAACCCGGGCCUAAACACCGACAAGUGGGCCGUGGUCAAUCGCUCCACCCUAGACUGCAAUGAUGUGGAGCGGCAGGUCCCUCAGUUCUGCGACAACAUCGUGAUAGAGCUGUA